AUGUACAUGGUGCACGACUCAGUGUUGAGCUCACUUGCAGCUGCAUGCUCAUGCAACCAUGGAUGUCAGGCACGGGAUGUGCUGGACAUUGUUCAGUGCCAGGAGGUGAGCAUCACCAUGACAAGGCAUAGCCUUGGGGCAGUGCUGAACGCAUUCGACAUCACUGAGAAUGACUACAGCUGCACGACCGCCGUAGCGCAUUCACUUUUGCCCUGUGCGGCGGCAGCACCGGCUCCAAGAAGCGGUUUAACGCUGCCACGGCCACCGGCCUCUGUGUUCUGUCGCGUCCGCAACGCUCGAGACAUUGUCCGCAACGUUGAUGAAGGUUUGUGGAGUCCUCCUAGAGUUUGA
rnacentral:rRNA from 1 species